rnacentral:rRNA from 1 species
UACGGGGGAGGGCGAGCGUUAUUCAUCAUUAUUGGGCGUAAAGGUACGCAGACUGUUCUUGGUUGUUUAUUCUGAAAGACCUGGGGCCAACUCAGGGGGUGAGAAUAUAAAACGCUAGAACUCGAGUCGACGAGAGGAUAGUAGAACUUUUUAAAAGUAGAAAGUGAAAAAGUGAUGAUAUUAAAAAAGACUCCCAAUGGCGAAGGCAACUAUCCAUUUUUCGAACUGACGUUGAUGUACGAAGGCAUGGGGUAUCAAAAUGGG